rnacentral:tRNA from 1 species
UGGCGCAAUUGGUAGCGCAGCGGUCUCCAAAACCGCAGGUUGCAGGUUCGAGCCCUGU